rnacentral:rRNA from 1 species
GUUGAUUUUAAUAACACUCUGGACAUGUUUGAUCUCUUCUGAUAUCAGAAGCUAAGCAAAGCCAGACCUGGUUGGUACUUGUUUGGGGCGGGGGGAGCAGUGGAUU